GUAACAGGCAACUCAAUAAAAGCGGUUUUUUAAUGACUAAGGGCAACUUCACCGGUGGUCCAAAUCACUGUUUGGUUCUAAAUUUUUGGACCAAGUUGAAAUUUGGAGCUUGCACCGGUGUUGCAAAAAAAGUUCCAAUUUUAUUUUAUACCAGUUUUCUGGUCUAUUUUUUUGGAACAGGCUAAUUGCCUGUUCCAUUUUUGGUCGGAUUUGGAACAAGAUUUGAGUUGUUCCAAAUCUGAUUUGACACACGUUUGUUUAUCAGUUCGGAUUUUUCUCGCUGAAACUGCCAUCGUCUUCUCAUCCUACUCAUUUGAGCGAUUCCUCUAGGCAAUUCAUCCGGACUCACGCAGGAUACCUCCAGGAAUCAUCCGGGUUUUUCUCCGGGGAAUAAUUUAGGAGUUCGUACAAGGAUUCCACCAAGAAUGUCGACAACGAAGUCUGUCUACAGAUAUCUCCAAUUGCUCUUCCAGGAAUUCUACUGAAGUUCCUCCGAUGUGUCCCACAGAAUUUCCACCAGGAAUUUCUCUGUGGAUUUCUUUCAGGCAUACAUCCGGGGAUUUGCUGCAGGAAUUACUCUGGGGAUUUGCUCAAGGAUCGGAAAUCCAGAGUCAGCAUCUUCGAAGCAGAUAACAACUCUUCCCAAUCGCCGGUACGCCGAAUUUUUACAUGAACCGGACUCCGAGACGAGAAAUUAUGGACAUGCUUAUUCGAUGGAGGACAUGCCGGGGUUAUGUCAACCAUGUUGUUGCAAAAACGGAACGAA